rnacentral:rRNA from 1 species
UGGGGAAUAUUGCACAAUGGGCGAAAGCCUGAUGCAGCGACGCCGCGUGAGGGAUGACGGCCUUCGGGUUGUAAACCUCUUUCAGCAGGGAAGAAGCGCAAGUGACGGUACCUGCAGACGAAGCACCGGCUAACUACGUGCCAGCAGCCGCGGUAAUACGGGGGGGGCAAGCGUUGUUCGGAAUUACUGGGCGUAAAGGGCUCGUAGGCGGCCAACUAAGUCAUACGUGAAAUCCCUCGGCUUAACCGGGGAACUGCGUCUGAUACUGGAUGGCUUGAGUUCGGGAGAGGGAUGCGGAAUUCCAGGUGUAGCGGUGAAAUGCGUAGAUAUCUGGAGGAACACCGGUGGCGAAGGCGGCAUCCUGGACCGAUACUGACGCUGAGGAGCGAAAGCCAGGGGAGCAAAC